GAGUUAAACUUGUCCAACAUCGAAUCGGAAAAUCAGGUUCUUCGCCAACAAGCUUUGGUUGCUUCAACCAAUGAAGACCUCUCCGAAGAGUUGACAAACCUCAAGAGUAAAGUUGCAGAUUUGGAAUCAGAGAAUGAACUUCUCCGCAGCAAACCUGUAGUAGUUGUGGAACAGAAAACUAGUUCAGAAAUCCUACAACCACCACCAGUCAAGGUUUAUGAUAAUGGGCAUCUAACAGAGGAAGAACUUCACAAAUCUAAGGUUCAUGAUAAUGGGCAUCAAACAGAGGAAGUGCUUCAUAGACCAAAGG